CCGCCACUCACUCACUCAGGCAUACCUGUUUCCUGUGCUGUGCACCAUGUUGCGCUCAAGUUUGUCCUCGCGCUCGGGCAAUGUGUAAACAGCUUGGUGUGGCCAGCCAACUCUGCAAACAAACACUGUUCCGCGCUAGUACCAUUUCACAGAAAAAAAACGUGUGUUUCCCACAUGCUUGCCCCACUUGCUUGUGCAAACAACCAAAAUUCCUUGUGUAAACAAAGUGAUACUGUGUAUAUAUGAGCCCAGUAUUAUAUAAACAGCUUUGUGAGUGUGUGGUACGUCCUGGCGUGCUGGGAAGUGCCAAUAAAUUUGGGGCAAACUACCCUUGUUUGCCCCCCCCCC